rnacentral:rRNA from 1 species
UACAGAGGUGGCAAGCGUUGUUCGGAGUUACUGGGCGUAAAGGGCUCGUAGGCGGCCAACUAAGUCAGACGUGAAAUCCCUCGGCUUAACCGGGGAACUGCAUCUGAUACUGGAUGGCUUGAGUUCGGGAGAGGGAUGCGGAAUUCCAGGUGUAGCGGUGAAAUGCGUAGAUAUCUGGAGGAACACCGGUGGCGAAGGCGGCAUCCUGGACCGACACUGACGCUGAGGAGCGAAAGCCAGGGGAGCAAACGGG